UACAGAGGGUGCAAGCGUUAAUCGGAAUUACUGGGCGUAAAGCGUGCGUAGACGGUUAUUUAAGUCAGGUGUGAAAGCCCCGGGCUCAACCUGGGAAUUGCAUUUGAGACUGAAUAGCUAGGGUGCGGAAGAGGGAAGCGGAAUUUCCGGUGUAGCGGUGAAAUGCGUAGAUAUCGGAAGGAACACCAGUGGCGAAAGCGGCUUCCUGGUCCAGCACCGACGUUCAGGCACGAAAGCGUGGGGAGCGAACAGG
rnacentral:rRNA from 1 species